ACUCCAACCCCUGUGACAUACCUAUCGUUGCUUCGGCGGGAUGCCCCAGUUUUGACUUAAAACUGGACCCAGGCGCCCGCCGGAGGACCCAAACUCUUGUUUUUAUAUGUAUCUUCUGAGUAAACAAGCAAAUAAAUUAAAACUUUCAACAACGGAUCUCUUGGUUCUGGCAUCGAUGAAGAACGCAGCGAAAUGCGAUAAGUAAUGUGAAUUGCAGAAUUCCGUGAAUCAUCGAAUCUUUGAACGCACAUUGCGCCCGCCAGUAUUCUGGCGGGCAUGCCUGUUCGAGCGUCAUUUCAACCCUCAAGCCCCCGGGCUUGGUGUUGGGGCUCGGCCCGUCCCUAGCGGAUGCGCCGUCCCCGAAAUCUAGUGGCGGUCUCGCUGUAGCCUCCUCUGCGUAGUAGCUAACACCUCGCAAUGGGAACGCAGCGCGGCCACGCCGUUAAACCCCCCACUUCUGAAGGUUGACCUCGGAUCAGGUAGGAAUACCCGCUGAACUUAAGCAUAUCAAUAAGCGGAGGA
rnacentral:rRNA from 1 species